GAUGAACGCUGGCGGCGUGCCUAAUACAUGCAAGUCGAGCGAACGGACGAGAAGCUUGCUUCUCUGAUGUUAGCGGCGGACGGGUGAGUAACACGUGGAUAACCUACCUAUAAGACUGGGAUAACUUCGGGAAACCGGAGCUAAUACCGGAUAAUAUUUUGAACCGCAUGGUUCAAUAGUGAAAGACGGUCUUGCUGUCACUUAUAGAUGGAUCCUCGCUGCAUUAGCUAGUUGGUAAGUUAACGGCUUACCAAGGCAACUAUGCAUAGCCGACCUGAGCGGGGGAUCGCCCGCCCGGGAACGUAGACGCGGUCCAGACUCCUACGGGACGCAGCAGACGGGAAUCUUCCGCAAUGGGCGAAAGCCUGACGGAGCAACGCCACGUGAGUGAUGAAGGUCCUCCGAUCGUAAAACUCUGUUAUGAGGGAAGAACAUAUGUGUAAGUAACUGUGCACAUCUUGACGGUACCUAAUCAGAAAGCCACGGCUAACUACGUG
rnacentral:rRNA from 1 species